CAAAGAGCUCUCUGAACCAAAGUGUCAACAGUAUUGAGACAAAGCUCUCUAGAGCAAGCCCUCAUGCCAGUGGCCUUUCUCAUCAGAUGUCUGAAGGAGACAGAUUCUGAGGAUCAGUGUCCUGUUGACUGAUGGAGCUUCUACUCCAGGUUCAAGGGCAGCGGUCCUCAGGAGACCCCAGCACUUAACAUCUUCAGUUGGAUAUGACACAUGACUCAACAAGUCUUCCUCAGUGAAUUCCUGGGUUCUCCAGUGGUGAAACAGACAGAAGGAGAAAGCACUAGGACAUCACAGAAGGAUGUGGACACUGAGCCCCAGAAACAAGAUCCAGUAGAAAGAACCAGUUGUGAUGUUGAGUCUGCUAGACAGGUUCUUGGAGCAAGAGUGAAGAGAUUGGGUCCCAUCAUUGGUACACUUUAGGUAAGUCACCACUCUUCCCUCCAUUCUCUUCUAUACAACAGGAUAACAGUACCCAAUGCUUCCGACCACCCAGGAGUUUAGGUAUGAACCCAUGUGGGAAAGCAAUAUGUGAUUGUAGGUGGGAGGGAAGGACCAGUGUACUACAUUAACAGAUACACCCCAGAUAUAUUAGAAUUUUGCAUGGUAGGCGUUAAAUUACCUUUUUUAAGCCGUACAGCAUGUGGGAUCUUAGUUCCUCAACUGGAUAUUGAACCCACAUCCCCUGCAUUGGAAGCACCGAGGCUUUACUGCUGGACUGCCA
rnacentral:lncRNA from 1 species